AAACCUAAUGAAAGAACCAUUUCACUCACUCACACACACAUACAAACACACUCAGGUGUGUGUGUGUGUAAUGGCUUGACUGUGGUGUUUUUCAGUGCACACUGACAUAUACUCUACUCAGCACUUACUAACUAAAAAUACCUCAAAGUACCACAGAAUAACAGUUUUUUUUUUUUAAACAUGAUAUGAUGGUAAUACCACAGUAUUCACUGUAUUGUUGUAGCUGUACAUUUAUCAGUUGCCAGGACAUUUCUGUGUGGUUGCCAAGAUGUUCUUAGGGUUUUUAGCACAUUGUAAUGUGGUUUCUGUGGUGUCUGGGUGGUUCCCAGGGUGUUGCUAUGGUAUUUGUUAGGCUGAUUGCUAGUGUGUUCUGGUGGUUGCUGGGAGUAGCUAGGAAACUGUUAGAAGGGUUGCUAGGUUGUUCUUUGUGGUUGCCAGGAAGUUGCUAGGGCACUUUUAGAAGGGUUGUUAGGUUGUUAUUUGUGGUUGCCAGGGAGUUUCUACUGCAUUUGUUAGGGGGUUUCUAGGUUGUUUGGGACUGAUUGCUAGUGUUUUCUGGGUGGUUGCCAGGGAGUUGCUAGGGCACUGUUAGGAGGGUUGCUAGGUUGCUUCUUUGUGUUUGCCAGGGAGUUUCUAGGGCAUUGUUGGGGGUUGCUAGAUUGCUUUGGAUGGUUGCUGAGACACUAUUAGAGAGUUGCUAGGUUGUUCUUUGCGGUUGCCAGGGAGUUGCAGGUGCAUUGUUAGAAUGUUGUUCCUUUGUUUUGGGUAGUUGCCAGGAAGUUGCUUUGUCAUUAGUAGGAGGUUUCUAUGGCAUUCUGAGUGGUUGUCAGGGAGUUGCUAGUGCACUGUUAGAAGAGUUGCUAGGUUGUUUUUUUGGUUGCCAGGGACAUGCUAGGGCAUUUGUUAAGGGGUUUCUAGGUUGUUUGGGGCUGAUUGCUAGUGUGUUCUGGGUGGUUGCCAGGGAGUUACUAGGGAAUUGCUAGAAGGGUUGCUAGGUUGUUCUUGUUGGUUGCCAGGGAGUUGCUAAGUUUUUAUCGACUAAAAUGCUCAGACAUUUAGUCGACUAAAACACAACUAAACAAAAGCAGCACAAGGUUGAUUAAAUAUGAUAAUAACUAAAACGUACUUGGACACAGGACUAAGACUAAGCCUAAAUUACAAAUGUCUGACAAAAUUAACACUAAUUACUUGGCCAUUCGAGGGUUGCUUGGUUGUUUUGAGUGUUGUUGGAGUGUUCUGGGUCACUUCUGUGGUGUUUUGCUUGGUUUCCAGGUUGUUGUUAUGGCGUUAUUAGAAGAUUGCUAGGUUGUUUUGGGUGGUUGUUACAAUGUUCAGGGAGGUUGGAGCACAAACUCUGCAGGACAACACAGACACUCAACUUUAAGAAAAGUGAAAAGUGACGUGACAUUCAGCCAAGUAUGCUCAGAAUUCAUGCUCUGCAUUUAACCCAUCCAAAGUGCACACACACAUACCGUGAACACACACCCGGAGCAGUGGGCAGCCAUUUAUGUUGCGGUGCCCGGGGAGCGGUUGGGGGUUCGGUUCCUUGCUUAAGGGGACCUCAGUCGUGGUAUUGCCAGCCCGAGACUCAAACUCACAACCUUAGGGUUAGGAGUUGAACUCUCUAACCACUAGGCCACGACUACCCCAAGACUUUAACACUGAGUUCUUGAGGUUUGUUGACAUAGUAGGCCGCAUAGUGAUAACUGACUUAUUAAACAACACUACUAAACCAAGAAAGAAAAAAAA